UCUGCCCCUUAGUUCUGCAGUAACGCAUUAAGCACUCCGCCUGGGAGUACGACCGCAAGGUGAAACUCAAAGGAAUUGACGGGGACCCGCACAAGCGGGAAGCAUGUGGUUUAAUUCGAAGCAACGGGAGAACCUUACCAAAUCUUGACAUCCUUUGACCGCUCUAGAGAUAGAGUCUUCCCCUUCGGGGUACAAAGUGACAGGUGGUGCAUGGUUGUCGUCAGCUCGUGUCGUGAGAUGUUGGGUUAAGUCCCGCAACGAGCGCCACCCUUAAGCUUAGUUGCCAUCAUUAAGUUGGGCACUCUAAGUUGACUGCCGGUGACAAACCGUAGGAAGGGGGGGAUGACGUCAAAUCAUCAUGCCCCUUAUGAUUUGGGCUACACACGUGCUACAAUGGACAAUACACAGGGCAGCUAAACCGCGAGUCAAGCAAAUCCCAUAAAGUUGUUCUCAGUUCGGAUUGUAGUCUGCAACUCGACUACAUGAAGCUGGAAUCGCUAGUAAUCGUAGAUCAGCAUGCUACGGUGAAUACGUUCCCGGGUCUUGUACACACCGCCCGUCACACCACGAGAGUUUGUAACACCCGAAGCCGGUGGAGUAACCAUUUAUGGAGCUAGCCGUCGAAGGUGGGACAAAUGAUUGGGUGAAGUC
rnacentral:rRNA from 1 species